rnacentral:rRNA from 1 species
UGAUAAUUAAUCGAAUCGCAUGGCCUCGAGCCGGCGAUGAUGCAUUCAAAUUUCUGACCCUAUCAAGUUUCGAUGGUAGGUUAGUGGCCUACCAUGCUUGUUAACGGGUAACGGGGAAUUAGGGUUCGAUUCCGGAGAGGGAGCCUGAGAAACGGCUACCACAUCCAAGGAAGGCAGCAGGCGCGCAAAUUACCCAAUCCCGACACGGGGAGGUAGUGACAACUAAAUAACAAUACAGGGCCUUUACGGGUCUUAUAAUUCGGAAUGAGUACAAUUUAAAUCCCUUAACGAGGAACAAUUGGAGGGCACGUCUGGUGCCAGCCACCCGCGGUAAUUCCAGGCUCACAAUAGCGUAUAUUAACAGUAAGUAGCACGUUAAAAAACGCUCGUAGGUAUGACACGUUCAGAC